CGGAGCUUCCCUGCGCCACAUACAAAGAGGAGCCACCAGAGACUUCCCCGCUCCCUUGUUGUUACCCCGAGGAACCCCUGGAGCAGAUUUGGCCGGACUUCCCCGAGGAACUGCCGGAUCUACUGCCCAGCCCGGGCUGCGAGGAGCCCAUGUUGUGGGACUUCUCGGGAGCGGACGCCACAGACCAGCUCCAUAUUGAAUAUUGGGCCCAGGAUAUGUAAAAGAUCGACAAAAGCUUGUGAUGAAGACCAUGGUUGACAGCCUCACUCCUCUGACACAAUGGAAUUUUCUACAAUAAAGAUAAAAUUCAUCUGUAAAAGAGAUGGACCUUUCUCAAGGACUGGUUUGAGACUAUGGAAUGAAAUCUCCCAGGAAUUAAGAACCAUCACAAACCUAACCAUUCAAGCACAAGAAAAGGCCUCUGCCCUUUAGUUGCAGAAGAAGACGGUGAUUCUGCCAGGUAGCUAUCAUUAAAAGGUUAGAUUACAGAUGUGUUUUGCACCUCUCAACUUGCCUUGAAACAGAGGCAUCACUGCACUUGUGCCCUCUCAUCAUUCUAAACUGGCUCCUUACUUUAAAAAUGGAGUCAUGGCACAUCCAUUAAAGUCAUCCCUCCCAUUAGCAGAUAUCAAUGAAAUACCUUCUUGGCACAAAUUGCCUUUUUAAUGUGUGUCCUGGAUUUAAAAAACUGACCUCGUAUCUCAAAACACUGUGGUUUUGUGUGUGUUAUUCUCUGAACAAUUCAUCCUGGAGCAGACACUCAGCACAAAAAUUUCAGCCC